AGCCUGUGAAGGUAAAGCAAAUCUCAAAAAUAAACGUCUCAGUUCGGAUUGUAGUCUGCAACUCGACUACAUGAAGCUGGAAUCGCUAGUAAUCGCGGAUCAGAAUGCCGCGGUGAAUACGUUCCCGGGUCUUGUACACACCGCCCGUCACACCAUGGGAGUCGGAAAUGCCCGAAGCCAGUGACCCAACUGAAAGGAGGGAGCUGUCGAAGGCAGGUCUGAUAACUGGGGUGAAGUCGUAACAAGGUAUC
rnacentral:rRNA from 1 species